UCGCGACCUGGGAUGCGGUGCCGGGUGCGACGGGCUAUCAGCUCGUCCGCGACGACGGGAUAGUCGUGUACCGCGGUACGGAGACCGAGGUCGUCGAC
rnacentral:tRNA from 1 species